CAGCAGCCGCGGGAAUACGAAGGGUGCAAGCGUUAAUCGGAAUUACUGGGCGUAAAGCGUGCGUAGGCGGUGAGUUAAGUCUGCUGUGAAAUCCCCGGGCUCAACCUGGGAAUGGCAAUGGAUACUGGCAAGCUAGAGUGUGUCAGAGGAUGGUGGAAUUCCCGGUGUAGCGGUGAAAUGCGUAGAGAUCGGGAGGAACAUCAGUGGCGAAGGCGGCCAUCUGGGACAACACUGACGCUGAGGCACGAAAGCGUGGGGAGCAAACAGGAUUAGUUACCCCUGUAGUCCCUGUCUCUUAUAC
rnacentral:rRNA from 1 species